rnacentral:snoRNA from 1 species
AUCCUUUUGUAGUUUAUAAGCAUAAUGGUUGGGUUUUUACAUGCAUGUGUGAAAUGUGCUUCCCUCAAACCUUGUUACAAUGUCCACACAUUACCCACCUGACA